UUCGAAUUGGCUGCGGGUGCCUUGGCCCCGGCGCGGCUGGUGGGAGGGCACCUGAGCUCACCAGAGACAGAGAAAGCAAGCGAGCAAGCCACCGGGUCCAGGACUCCUACCGCUGGCCAUGUGGGACACCAGGGCUUUAACCGCUCCACCUGCCAGCCCCAGGACCGCAUGUUGGUGUAUGAGCAUGCUCAGGCCCAGAGAAAUGAAAUGCCCUAUUUGCCUGAGGUCUCAGUGGGAGUUACUGACACAUCCAGGGUGGGUAGACAGCCAGAAGACAGCUUACUGCCCUCGCCGCCCAGGAAAGUUUGAUUGGGGCAUGCCUGCAAAACUGCACGUGUGGAUUGGGAUUUUCUGGACUGCAGUGUGUGGAGAGGAGAGCUGAAGAUUAGGCAGGGGGAAGCUGCCACAUCUGCUCUGAUAGCUGCCUUGUAUGGAGCACCAUCCAACAAAUAGAAAUGGUACAUGUGUGUGCAGUCUCCGAGAACUGGGACGUAUUUGGGGCAAGGCAGCUCCUCUCCUACCCGAGUCCAAAGGCCUAUUUCCUGGGAAACAACUGGCCGUGGACUGUGUGGCCAAUGAGAUGUGUGUGAGCGCUUCCAGGAGAGCUUUCUAAUGAGUCCUCUUCUCUGCUUGGAAUGUGGAUGCGAUGGCUGGAAUACUAACAUCCACUUUCGAAUGUGAGGCAAUUUGAAGAGGAAAACCAUGAACUGAGAUGACAUCCCUGUAAGCUGCUUUCCCGUGAGCGAAAACACUAAACUAGACGAGCCUCUGCUGUUUUGAAUUCCCAAGUUAUAUGCAGCCACAUCUGACCCUGAUCUGGCCAAGAUCUGAUAUUCGGUGCAGCUAUGAUGGUACAUGCAGGGUGCCGCUCCGCCAUGUCAGAACCAUGUGAGAAGGCUGUGGGUUCAGUUCCUAAGAUGACCUGAAUGCUGCUGUGGGCACACCCUGAUUGACUGGGAGGCUGGAGAGGGGAUCGUGGCAUGAUGAAACCCUGUCACAGGUCUCUGUCUUUCUCCCUGUUACCUUCUCUCAAGAAAUAAACUUUAAAAAAAAUAUUAAAACUUUCUACAGAUAGGCUUUAUCCCACCCCCCUUUAAUUACCAGGGGGCACACAGGCUCAUGAGAGAGAGAACGCCCCCAGGAGGCAAGGUUACACUGCAAUCCCCUUUCCAUUUUUCCACCCCAUCAGCAUUUCGGGCGCAUGCGCACACAGCAUGUGACUUGAGCUGCCCAGGUUGGGCUUGAACGCGGUCAGCCACGUGGGAUCUAGUUUCCGAUGCACUGCAUUUAGCCACUUUGCUAAAGGAGCAGCAGCCCAAAAAGGGUUUUUUCAGCAAUCAUUCUGGCUCCAGCUUUUCUAAACCUCCCUAAGAAUACAUGAGCCAGCUGAGAAAUGUGCCCAAUUGCAGAUAAGCAGGCCUAUAAUAGAUUCUUUCCCCUUAAACUAAAUUAAAAUAAAUCUAAUAGGAGCUUAGAAGGCAAAGGGCCUUUGAGGCCACGGUAUGAUUUGUGAGAGUUGGGAACACCCUGGGUUUAAUCUGUUGAGAGUCCUAGAGAACGGUACUGUCUUCAUAUUAACACUUCCUAUGACGAGGAUUUCCUUUGAUUAUUGGGUCAUUUUCCAUAUUUUUUCACUCACAGUCAUGACAUAUGCCAUGGCUAAAAUUGGUAGCCUGCACUUUUUU